UUGCUUCAGCAGCACAUAUACUAGAAUUGGAAUGAUACAGAGAUUAGCAUGGCCCCUGCACAAGGAUUACACACAAAUUUGUGAAGUGUUCCAUAUUUUU
ensembl:snRNA U6 U6 spliceosomal RNA